CCAGCAGCCGCGGUAAUUCCAGCUCCAAGAGUGUAUAUUAAAGUUGUUGCGGUUGAAAAGCUCGUAGUUGGAUUUAUGCUAUGCUGGUACAGUCGACCCCCUGGGUAGGACUUGUAUUGUUGCAUUGCACAUUGUAGAAUUUUUGUACGUUUUUCAGUAAAUGUGCAGAAUGCUGCUUAGUUACUUUGAGGAAAGUGGAGUGUCACACGCAGGUUGCGCCGUGAACAUGCUAGCAUGGCAUGACGCUGUAUGACUACGAGUCUUUUUGAAUGGUUUCGGGACACGUGGUAAUGAUUGAUAUGAGGUGUUGGGGAUACUCAUAUUUGACAGUUAGAGGUGAAAUUCUUGGAUUUGUCAAAGAUGAACAAAUGCAAUAGCAUUUAUCAUGGAUGUUUCAUUUGAUCAAG
rnacentral:rRNA from 1 species